rnacentral:rRNA from 1 species
CGUAGGUGAACCUGCGGAAGGAUCAUUAUCGAGUUUUGAAAUGGGUUGUAGCUGGCCUUCCGAGGCAUGUGCACGCCCUGCUCAAUCCACUCUACACCUGUGCACUUACUGUAGGUCUUUGAAGGCAACAUGGGCUUUGCGGCUCAUCGAGUUUCUGGGCCUAUGUUUUAUUACAAACGCUUCAGUAAUAGAAUGUGUAUUGCAAUGUAAUGCAUCUAUAUACAACUUUCAGCAACGGAUCUCUUGGCUCUCGCAUCGAUGAAGAACGCAGCGAAAUGCGAUAAGUAAUGUGAAUUGCAGAAUUCAGUGAAUCAUCGAAUCUUUGAACGCACCUUGCGCUCCUUGGUAUUCCGAGGAGCAUGCCUGUUUGAGUGUCAUGAAAUUCUCAAUCCAUAAAUCUUUGUGGUUUAUGGGAUUGGACUUGGAGGCUUGUCGGCCUUGUUGGUUGGCUCCUCUUAAAUGCAUUAGCUUGGUUCCUUGUGGAUCGGCUUUUGGUGUGAUAAUUGUCUGCGCCGUGGCCGUGAAGCGUUUGGUGAGCUUCUAAUCGUCUCUUUUGGGACAAACUUGUAUUGACCUCUGACCUCAAAUCAGGUAGGACUACCCGCUGAACUUAAGCAUAUCAAUAAG